rnacentral:lncRNA from 1 species
CUGAAUAUUUCUAAUAUUAUAUUUUAUAAAUUAUGAGGAGUUCCCAUUGUGGCUCAGUGGGUUAUGAACUGCCAGUUCUGAUCCCUGGCUUUGCUCAGUGGGUUAAGAAUCCAGGGUUGCUGUGAACUGUGGUAUAGGUCACAGACACAGCUUGGAUCCUGCAUGGCUGUGGUGUAGGCUGGCAGCUGCAGCUCCAAUUUGACCCGUAGCCCUGGGAAAUUCCAUAUGAUGCAGAUGCAGCCCUCAAAAGGGGAAAAAAGUCACUAGGGCUGAAUUAGAGGGUGGUUUUGAGAAAGGAAAAAGAAGAAUUGGAAUGAUGAAAUGAAUCAUGAGAAGUAGAGUCUGUUAUCAUAAGUAACUCUCCUGUGAAAGAAAAAAAUCUUUAGUUUGUUAUCCAUUUAUGGCAUUCAUUUAGCAAUGAUUUUUCAAUAAAUGGAUUGGAUAAAAUUUGAGAAUAAUGUUUAGAAAUGAUAAGUUCAGUGCUCUUCCUGUAUCUACAAGUUGAAGUGGAAAAUUACAAGAUAUAGAAUAUCUUGUGCUAUCACCAUUAUCUAGGUUAUAGCCCAUUGGUGUUUACUGGCAGAUAAAAGGUUAUUAAGUUUCUUUGUCAUUUAUCAUGCUUAACAUAUAUCAGGCAAUGUGCAAAAUAUUUGACAUAUAAUCUCAUUUACUCCAUACUGUAACUCUAUUAACUCAUUUUACUGACGACCUAGCAUUCAAAGAUGAUAAGAACUUGUCCAAGGUCAUAUAACCAAGUAAUAUGUCAUUUAAAUAUUUAAUUUGACCUAUCAAGGCCAAUAUUAAGUUAAUAUUUUCUACCUUUUACUGAUUCUUUCUGGAUUUUACUGUUUAAUUUUUUUUUAUAAUUCAAGGAUUCAUUAUUAUCAAGGAAUAAAGAGCAGAGGUUCAAAGAUAUAUUAGGAUUCAGCCUAAUAUACUUAGAGUAUUAUAUUGUACUUAUAGUAGAGUGACUCCCCUUGUCAAAUGUGGCUUUCUUAAUGUCCGAGUUGUAUAGAACAGCUAUUUUAAAGAUAAAGGUCUCUUGAUAUUUAUUCCCUAAGACUUUUAUUGAAUUUGAAAUUUUCUCUUGUUUAAAAGUAUUCAGAUCAGAUACUAUCUGAAAAACCUUCAGAUAGUUUCAAUUAUUUAAUAUUUCUAUGGUUAAGAAAAAUUUCAAAAAAUAAAGUGGGAAAAUAUAAGUAAGAAGUAUAUUCUUAGGAAUAUAAAUGUACCAAAAAAACAACUGCAUUCAGCUCUUCUGUUAAGAAAAAUCAAAUCAUAGGAAUAGUAAAAAAUCUGUACAUUUCACUUUGAGCUUCUAAAAACAUAUAUAUGAAAAGCUUGUGGUUGUAUUAUAUUAAAAUAUUUUUGUUAAUACCUGAUU